UUUACCCAUGUUCUCUUUUAUAAACUGUGUUUGGUUUUGUGCUUCUGGCAAUGCCUCUACAUAUGCAUAUGUGGAUAUGCUAAUUGACGACAUCUGUGAUGAUUUUCUGCUAAAUCAAGUAUAUUACCUAGGGCAUUUGUUUAUUUUACCUAGGGCACUGGAAAAUGUUGGAAUUGCUGACUUGGCUACAAGGAUUUAGCACAAUGAGAGGUUAAAGCGUCUGUCCCUCCAAUGCAAUACUCUGACAGUAUCUCCGAAGAUGAAUUUGGGCUAGAAGACUCUGCAAACAUCCUCUCUGUCAGCAUAGUCUCCUCAGAUGUAGGCUUCCCAGUCAAUGUCUAUGGCUGUGUCAUUGCCAGAGACAGCAUUGACUACAAGUGCAUUUAUCUCUUUCACCGCAAUAGAGAUGAUUGCCAACGUGUCAACAAGGAUGGAAUGAUGAUUUUCACUGGCCCAAGUCGAGGUCUAGUGCUGGUUUAGAUAUAGAUCUUAAAAUCAGGGAAGAUGGAGUGCUUCCAGAUAGGCCAUUCAGCAAGGGUCUAAUAAGUAUUGAUGGCCGAGUACUGUCUAGAGAGGAAGAUGUGGUGGUUAGAAGUGAAAUUCUUGAAAGCUGGCUCAGCACUAGGAAGUGAGGUUCACAACUGUUCUGAACGCAGUUGACUGCACCAUUGUAAUCAAGCUUCUUGAGGGCCGUUUGAAAGGAAAUAUAAUAGUUGGCAUCUCGGAUAAAGCUCACAAUCUGGACACUGAACAAAUGAUUGUGAUUCAUGAUAGCAAGACAGAUGGCAUGGUGACAGGUGAUCAAAGUGGAGUUAUGAAACUCCGGCGAAGUUUCAUUACUAUCUGUCUAGAAAGAAUGCUGGUGGUUCACAUGAAUAAUAAGGCUGCUGGUGUCUGUGCUGAGCGUACCUUUGAUUUAACUCCACGCCGCAUUGGUUCAGAUAAAGUGGAAAUUAAGUGUGGUGCUGGGAAGUUUGGAUUCAGGAUUGUCUGGUCCUUGAUGGAAUUUAGGCUCUAAUCAUGUGAUUAUGUUCUGAUGUAAUGAAGUGAUGCAAUGAUGUAGUGAACAAAGUUAUAUCACGAGUCAGUGAUGUAAUGGAUCAUGUAAUUAUGUAGUGGUAUAUCGUUAUUUAAGUGAUGUAAUGGAUUAAUAACUGAUGAUGCAGUGAACUAAGUUAUUAUGUAUUAUGGUGGAGUAUUA